rnacentral:rRNA from 1 species
UACGUAGGUCCCGAGCGUUGUCCGGAUUUAUUGGGCGUAAAGCGAGCGCAGGUGGUUUAUUAAGUCUGGUGUAAAAGGCAGUGGCUCAACCAUUGUAUGCAUUGGAAACUGGUAGACUUGAGUGCAGGAGAGGAGAGUGGAAUUCCAUGUGUAGCGGUGAAAUGCGUAGAUAUGUGGAGGAACACCGGUGGCGAAAGCGGCUCUCUGGCCUGUAACUGACACUGAGGCUCGAAAGCGUGAGGAGCAAACAGG